CCUACGGGUGGCUGCAGUGGGGAAUGUUGCACAAUGGGCGCAAGCCUGAUGCAGCCAUGCCGCGUGUGUGAAGAAGGCCUUCGGGUUGUAAAGCACUUUCAGCGGGGAGGAAGGCGUUAAGGUUAAUAACCUUGGCGAUUGACGUUACCCGCAGAAGAAGCACCGGCUAACUCCGUGCCAGCAGCCGCGGUAAUACGGAGGGUGCAAGCGUUAAUCGGAAUUACUGGGCGUAAAGCGCACGCAGGCGGUCUGUCAAGUCGGAUGUGAAAUCCCCGGGCUCAACCUGGGAACUGCAUUCGAAACUGGCAGGCUAGAGUCUUGUAGAGGGGGGUAGAAUUCCAGGUGUAGCGGUGAAAUGCGUAGAGAUCUGGAGGAAUACCGGUGGCGAAGGCGGCCCCCUGGACAAAGACUGACGCUCAGGUGCGAAAGCGUGGGGAGCAAACAGGAUUAGAUACCCGGGUAGUC
rnacentral:rRNA from 1 species